rnacentral:tRNA from 1 species
GCCAGUUUGGCUCAGUGGGUAGAGCGUCGGCCUGUGGACUGAAGGGUCCUGGGUUCAAUUCCCAGUCAGGGCA